rnacentral:lncRNA from 1 species
CUAAAGAAGUUGAACUCACAGAAAUAGAGAGUAGGACAGUGGUUAUCAGGGGCUGGGGUGAAGGAAAGGGAGGGGAUAGGAGACACUGGUCAAAGGGUACAAAGUUUCCAAUAGGAAGAAUAGUUUUAAACAAGCUAAUCUCCUCUGAAAGCUCAGUUCCUCAUCUGUAGAGCACGGAUACAUCAUUAACCUUCUAAGGAUGUUGCUGUGAGAGUAAGAGAUGAUGUUCAGCACAAUACCUAACGCACAGUCAGGUCUCCUUAAGCUUGAACCUGCAUCGCCAUGACCUCUACAUCUCAGGACAGAAAGGCUCACAGCCAGUGUCUCAGUUCCCAAUGAAAAGUGGAUCCCAGACCAGGCUGGACAGCAGGAUCCCUAGGGGAUACCCCACCCUACUGAGUCAGAAUCACCAGAGGUAGAACCUGGGUAUGUAUGUAUGUGUGUGUGUGUGUGUGUGUGUGUGUGUGUGUGUAUGUACAAGAGACAGGGUCCUGCUCUGCAGUCCAGGCUGGAGUGCACUGUCACAAUCGUAGUUCACUGCAGCUUCAAAUUACCCCUGGUCUCAAUCCAUCCUCCCGUCUCAGCCUUCAGAGUAGCUGAGACUACAGGCGCAUGCCACCAAGCCCGGAUACUUUUUUUUUUUUUCUUCCUUUUGGAGAGAGUCUCACUCUGUUGCCCAGGCUGGAGUGCAAUGGUGCAAUCUUGGCUCACUGCAACCUCUGUCUCCCGGGUUCAAGUGAUUCUCAUGCCUCAGCCUCCUGAGUAGCUAGGAUUACAGGCAUACACCACCACAUCAGCGUAAUUUUGCUCUUUCAUUGUUGUUUCUUGUUUGUUUUUCACAAAUAGGACUUUUUAUUUGGUACUGUUUUAAGUCUGAACUUUAAACAGAUUCUUGGACUGGUGGUUCCUAUCCAUCAGCUCAUUCAACUUUAGCAUGUGUCUCGUCCCUAGUGGGUUUUCCAGAACUACUACCUCCACCACGAAGCUCCAUGCCUUUCAAACCCAGGGUUCUCCAGCAUUUUUACUUUUCUAAUGAAGACAUCAUGGAGAGGAUAAAUUGGCAAACCUUUUCUGUAUCUUUUCCAAUGUUGUCUGGAAUCAAUUUAUUGACCACUUCUUUCAAGUCAUUUGUCUGCACCUCUCAGGUCAUGAUUUCCAUCAUCUUCUUCUGGAUUUGGCAGACUGUUGGUGCUAAGCAUAAGAGGUCUUCAGUAUCUGAUUGUUGUGUUUUUUAGUAAAACCAACACAAAACAGAUGAAAGAAGUAACCAUCGGUAGUCCUGACAUCAACAUGAGCUUCAACCAUCGUUGAACAUUUUUCAACCAUGGAACAUAUUUUGUCACAGGUAAGACCCAUGCCAUAGAAAUUAGUCAGGCAGUUUUUGUCCUGAACAUCUUCAGUAAUCAGCUUGAAUUUUCUAAAUGCAACUUCAUCAUUCUGCAAAUCAGCAAGACUCACUUCAAACAGAAGACCCUUGAGACCAUCAGAUGCAAUUUGGGUUCCUUGGGUCCUGGCGACCAAGUCUUUCCAGUAUUUCUUAUAUUGAACAUAGCAGGUGCUUUCACAUCAUACUGAUCUUUCUUAGAGAAUGGACCAACUACUUUCUUCUUAACUCCCUUUUUGCCACCUUUCAUAAGGCACUUGUUCUUAACAACCGCCAUGGUGCUGCUUGGAGUACCAAAAGGCUAAAUUUUAUAUUUUUGGUAGAGACGGGAUUUCAGGAUGUUGGCCAAGCUGCUCUUGAACUCCUGAUGUCAGGUGAUCUGCCCGCCUCUGCCUCCCAAAGUGCUGGGAUUACAAGUGUGGACCACUGCACCCAGCUGUUAUUUAUUUUUUCUUUUUUUGUACAGACAGGGUCUUGCCAUGUUGCCAAGGCUGGCCUGGAACUCCUGGCUUCAAGCAAUCCUCCCACCACAGCCUCCCAAAGCACUGGGAUUUCAGGUGUGAGCCACCAUGCCCAGCCUGGAAUCUAUUUUUAAAGCCAAUCAAGCGUUGAAUAAAAUUGCAACUUGG